GAUGAACGCUGGCGGCGUGCCUAAUACAUGCAGGUCGAGCGAACGGACGAGAAGCUUGCUUUUCUGAUGUUAGCGGCGGACGGGUGAGUAACACGUGGAUAACCUACCUAUAAGACUGGGAUAACUUCGGGAAACCGGAGCUAAUACCGGAUAAUAUUUUGAACCGCAUGGUUCAAAAGUGAAAGACGGUCUUGCUGUCACUUAUAGAUGGAUCCGCGCUGCAUUAGCUAGUUGGUAAGGUAACGGCUUACCAAGGCAACGAUGCAUAGCCGACCUGAGAGGGUGAUCGGCCACACUGGAACUGAGACACGGUCCAGACUCCUACGGGAGGCAGCAGUAGGGAAUCUUCCGCAAUGGGCGAAAGCCUGACGGAGCAACGCCGCGUGAGUGAUGAAGGUCUUCGGAUCGUAAAACUCUGUUAUUAGGGAAGAACAUAUGUGUAAGUAACUGUGCGCAUCUUGACGGUACCUAAUCAGAAAGCCACGGCUAACUACGUG
rnacentral:rRNA from 1 species